UUAAAUAAGAGUAAAUAUUCCUGGCAGUCAGGUGGGACUGAGAAAGUGACCUUUUUCCAAACAAUGGAAGUUGAAACAAUUCAAAGAAUAAAGAGCUUUGCCACAAGAAACUGCCUGAAACUGGGGUCAAAUCAACACUCUCCGUGCCCGUUAGGGUCUCUUUCAGCAUGAGGACUGUAAGCCAUCUCAGGGAUAACUGGAUGAUUUCUGGGACAUCUUUGGGGGGGACACACUCCUUGUCGCCCCCUGAAGCAUGCCUGGGGCAUGAUCAGGGACAAAGAGCAGAACCCCCUGCCGAGAUCUGAAUCACCAGGAGUGACCUCCCUCUCUUGCUGUGAAGAAUGAAUUCCUGACUGCAAGUUUGCAAAUCAUACCCACUGUAGGUAACACUGAUGUCCCAUCAGUUGACUUCCCACCACCAGGGGCCCUCUCAGGGGCAGGGGGCUUCUGUCUUCCUAGAGCAGAGCGAGUGGGCAUGAGUGCCCAACAACCGCUACGAGGCUGGGCCAGUAGAGGCAAGACCUAGGCAUCCCAUGUGACAUGUGAUUACAUUCGCUUCCUUUCUCACCUCAGAAAAGAAAACAGAGUACAGACCGCAUCACUCAAGUCAUUGCCCUUCUCUUAUUGUCCCACAGAGUCAUUGUCUAGUUUGUGCAUUCCCCCCUCCUUUUCCAAGCACUGUUCACUCUCACCUCCAGGAUCACUGGAUCACUGACGUCUUGCCCCUCACUCACCACAAAUCACCCAAACUCAGUGGCGUAAGACAACUGUUUCAUUCUGCUCCUGGACUCUGCGGGCCAGGGGUUCAAACAGGAGAUGGAAAGGGCUGCUUAUCUCUGCUUCACAAUGUCUGGAGCCUCGGCUGGGAAGAAUCAAGGGCAGGGGGCAAUUCAAGGCAUGGCACUGGGGUCAUCAGGAGGCUCGCCCAUUCACACCUCUGGCAAGCUGUGGGCUGGGACCUCAGUGGGUUGUCAGCCAGAACACCCACACGUGGCCACUCCACACGCUUGAGCUGCCUCACAGCAUGGCGGCCUCAGUCUUUUGCAUGGCUCGGAGUUCAGGGCUCUCAGUGCAAGUGUCCCAGGGAAAAAAGAAACUGCAAGGCCUUUUGCCAUGUGGCUUUAGAAGUCAUGGAACAUCUCUUCUGCCACACUCAGUUGAUUGCAAGCGAGUCAGAAACCUGCCCAGGUUCAAGGGGAAGGGACAUCCCAGGGAAGACUGUGUGUGUUUCUGAGACAUGUUUAAAACCCUCCAGAGUAGCCUAUGCAGCCAAGUCCAAACUAGGCUUCAUGUGAGUCUCCAUCAGCUUCCCUGUAAGGAGCUCCUUUAUCUUCAAUUCUUGGACCCUGAGGUACUUUGGAGGUGAUCAUGGGGAAGUUACUUAAGUGCUUCUUGGUUCCUUGGCCAUGGUUGAAUUUGAAAGCGGCAGAACUCGCGUGGGAAGCCCUCUUUCCCUUUGCUCUUUCUCCAACCCGUGACCCUCCCCCAUUGUCUGACCACUGCACCCAGCCUCUGCUUUGACAGCUGUCUUGCGGGUCCCCGGGAGUGCUCUGCCACCCUCUUGUAUGUCCUUGCAGAAUGACUUGCAUGCUGAUGAUGUGUGCCUGGCUCAGCACAGACAUCUCCCUUCAAUACCUCCGUACCAAGCCCUUGCCUUACCACGCUUUCUGCCUGAAGUUGUUCCCCGCCCCCCCCCCCCUCAUGGGGAGAAAGACUCGUGAGCACGUUCCAGAAGGCAUCGGUUGGCCUGCCCUGCCUAGCACAAGGCGCUUGCUCAGUCAAUGAUUGGUGAAUAAGUUAACCCUGGCUUGCAUGUGCUCUAGAUGACCCCCCGGGGUCUGAUUCCAGCCCGAGUCACCAGAGGAUUCGUGGGGACUAGAGCAAAGGAGAGCCUUGCAUGUUGCCAGAAGAGAGGUAGUUCGAUAUAUGUGGGGUGCCGCUGUGCCCGUGUGUUUCGGAGGGACCGGGAGUGGGUGGUGAUGGACCUGUGGCACGGUAUUGCAGGCUGGAGCCAGGACUUGACACGCCGGCAUUACCUGGCUUCUGCACAUCCGCCCUUCAUGAUCCCCGGUACUUGGAAACUUUCCUGGACACACUGAGAAGACUCUCCAAGAGCCAGGCUACCUGUCAAGUUUCCAGGGCCCCCGACCCCUGCUGCCUCUUCUUUUCCUCCCCAGAGUGUGCGGAUAAAGCACCAGAAUCUCUCUGGGGAAGCGUGACCUCACUUGAAAAAGGACCUGUUUGAGAGAGGUGUAUGUGUUGGUGGGGCCGGGAGGUGCCUAGACUUGUAGGGACCUGUAUAGAUGAGAGAAAUGACAAAAAAUAAUCUUCUACUCAGUCAAUCCAGCUAAAGAUGCUGCAGUCCCAGGGAAACGUUUAGGAAGGAUCUGCUUUUGUGUUUCUCAUUUGUGAAAAGCAACAACAACAAACAAACAAAGGAAAAGACUCCCAGGCUUCCUGCGGUGAGGGAGCUAUGGGUCCUCCCGGGAGAAAGGGCUGCAGACUGACUGAAGGAGUCCUCAUUGUGGGGGGAAGCGAGCUUGCUUCUUUUUCUUUCUUUUCCAUUCCCUGUGCAGACUCACAGCCCUGUGCACUUAAUUCUCCAUGCCUGUGCAUCAGCAUUGCAGUAGACUUUUCCAUAUGCUCCUUCCACUCUGAACAACAGCAUGGAUUGUUAUUUCCAACCUACUGAGGAAAGAACCGAGGCUCAGAGAAGUGAACUGAGUUGCCCAGAAUGUAUUGCCGAUAAGUGGAUGAACCCGAUUGUUUAUUUAUUUAAUGAACAUACUAAGUUAUGCAUUGAGCUACGGAGAGAACAAAGAUGAAUAAAAUGUGUUGGUUCUGGCCAAGAAGAAAUUCAGCGUAGGAGCGGAAGAUAGCGCAAUUCUACAACAAUAUGAGUGUGGGAGGCGUUUCCUGGCACUUCUCCACCGUGACUUCUCAGCAGGGCUUCGGGGGGAACCAGGAGGUGGCCGUGCCAAAGGCUUUUGACUGAGGGAAAGUCAACCCACCGCCCAGGGUGCCAUGACUGCCCCACGGCAUCUCGGAAGAAGUAGGCCAAAGAUCAUCAGGAAACAGUGGCUUCUGGGUUCACUGCCGCAAAGCAAGCUAUGGGAGUUUAUGUUCAGUAGACCACAACCACCUGGACAAAUGAUAACUACAGGUGGGAGCCUGUGCUAGUUGACCUCCCGAAGUCCCUUCCAAAAUGGUAGGUCCAUGAAGAGGACAGAGUGCACCGUUCAGAAAGGCUGGAACUUCCCAACACCCACGGAGAGAGGGACAUUGAUGACAGCUUCUUUCAAGAGCCAGUUUCUUAACAUUUGUAGGAGCAAAAGGGUGGUGACCGGGACCCUCAGAGGAGAGGAGGUGGUAUGCAAGAUGUGAGGGUGCAAGAAGAGAGAAAAUCCUGGGCGGAAGAGACGCCGGGCCUUCGCGAGCGUGGCACCUUCUGACUUCAAGGAGCCUUUCAACAAAA